UAAGACUGCAGAUCUUUAAAGCUGCAGUCCCUAACUUUUGGCGCUCUAGCGGUUAGUAAACAGAAUUGCGUGCAUCUUGCGGAAGAACGCUGU